CGCUUCUUUCCUCCCGAGUGCUUGCACUCAAUUGGAAAGAGGAGUGGCGGACGGGUGAGUAACACGUGGGUAACCUACCCAUCAGAGGGGGAUAACACUUGGAAACAGGUGCUAAUACCGCAUAACAGUUUAUGCCGCAUGGCAUAAGAGUGAAAGGCGCUUUCGGGUGUCGCUGAUGGAUGGACCCGCGGUGCAUUAGCUAGUUGGUGAGGUAACGGCUCACCAAGGCCACGAUGCAUAGCCGACCUGAGAGGGUGAUCGGCCACACUGGGACUGAGACACGGCCCAGACUCCUACGGGAGGCAGCAGUAGGGAAUCUUCGGCAAUGGACGAAAGUCUGACCGAGCAACGCCGCGUGAGUGAAGAAGGUUUUCGGAUCGUAAAACUCUGUUGUUAGAGAAGAACAAGGACGUUAGUAACUGAACGUCCCCUGACGGUAUCUAACCAGAAAGCCACGGCUAACUACGUGCCAGCAGC
rnacentral:rRNA from 1 species